rnacentral:rRNA from 1 species
GAUUUCUGAUAUGGUGCACCUGGCCCGCCACGGUUACGUGUGUGAGUGCCGGGAUGCGCCUGUCACUGUUCUGGUAAACCAUUUUGCACUUCAUUGUGUGAGAUGGGUAGCCAGAUAUUUUACUUUGAAAAAAUUAGAGUGUUUAAAGCAGGCGUUUGCUAUGAAUACAUUAGCAUGGAAUAAUAAGUUAGGACUUCGGUUCUAUUUUGUUGGUUUCUAGGACUGAAGUAAUGAUUGAUAGGGACAGUUGGGGGUGCUAGUAUUCAGCGGCCAGAGGUGAAAUUCUCGGAUUCGCUGAAGACUAACUUAUGCGAAAGCAUU